rnacentral:lncRNA from 1 species
GGCUUUGCCUUGUUUUCAAUCCUCACUAUUCUUUCUCCCUUGGGUCAUAGAUGGAAAUCUUCCUGUGCACAGGCCAGUGGGAUAUGAAUGCAGCCUUUCCCAAGAAAAGACUCUGGUAUCUCUGUGUAGCCCCAUGGCCCCAGGAGAAUUCUUCCAUAGAAGGAGAUGGAUUCCUGAACCAUUUCACAAGUGUCUCCACGAGGAGCAGGUUGAUGGCCUUCCACUGCUGGUGGCCUUCAUUCACUCAUGCCUUCAGUAGUGAGCGGCUCCUUCAUGCCAGCCACCUUUCUUCCUGAUGUUUGCAAUUCCCAUUUUCCAAGAGGGCACAAGGAGGAGUACCCAUUCUUUAGUGUAGUGAGAAUCUCCAAGGGCUGGUGAGAUUGGCCACACCCACAGGGCGGUCACUGAGUCACCUGUGCAGGCUGGGAAGUGGGACAGACUUGGGGAGGUGUGGGGGGAAGGCAGACAGUCUUUAGGGAGUAAUCUGGAAAUGCAUGACUAAAUCAAGAUCUGAAACAGUUUGCAGAGAACACAGACAGGUUUUAGAAAGUAAAAUAGAAAUGAAGAAUAGAUAAUGGUUGGGCAAAAUGCAGAUUAGACCCAGAGGCUGAGGUCAGCAGGAAAACCAAAGUAGAGACAUACAGGGUGUAGUGUCCCACAGAUUUGCUGCCACUGAAUAAAGAGCUGGGCUUGACUGUGGAAGACAGUAUGGUGGUCCCUCAGAAGCUCAGCACCCUUGGCCCAUUUGCCAUCAAGGUGGAGGCUCAGUUUGUUAUGUAUCUUCUCCGCUUCCAGAGUCUGAGUUCAGAAUUGUGCUAGCCAUCCCGCGAAGAAAUCACUUUGCUCUUGGAGAUGUAGCUGACCAGGAGGAUGUCAUUGGCCUGUCUUCCUCUGGGUCUGUCUUGCUGUUUAGUCUCCCAAGCGACCUCCUAAGAUCAGAGGGUGGCUCCCAGGACUGGCUCAUCCAUGCUGAGUGUGGCUCCAUCUUUCAGAGAUAGACUCACGUUAGCCAAGCUAGCAAGACUGAUCUGUGGAGGGCGCCUGGGUGGCUCAGUGGGUUAAGCCGCUGCCUUCGGCUCAGGUCAUGAUCUCAGAGUCCUGGGAUCGAGUCCCGCAUCGGNNNNNNNNNNNNNNNNNNN